AGAAAAGUUCAGCUCCGCGUGUUUUAUUACAUUUUGAUUUUUGCCACCACCAUUUGAUUAUUAUUUUCUCAGGAUUUUUGCAUGCAAGUCGGGCGACUUUAUAUGCUUUAUAGCAGCUAUAGCAACGAUCUGCAAAAAUGUGCAUACUUCGUGUCCCGAUGCCCUUGGAGGAGAAAAGGUCCUCGGGGCUGGAAGGUCGGAUCCAACGUUUGGAAGACGAAGUUCCCGGGAUGGGCAGUGAA